CGGGCCGUGGCGCAGCUUGGUUAGCGCGUCUGACUGGGGGUCAGAAGGUCGCGGGUUCAAAUCCCGCCGGCCCGACCA
rnacentral:tRNA from 1 species